GCUAGCGUUGCUCGGAAUUACUGGGCGUAAAGGGCGCGUAGGCGGAUAGGUUAGUCAGAGGUGAAAGCCCAGGGCUCAACCUUGGAAUUGCCUUUGAUACUGGCUAUCUUGAGUACGGGAGAGGUGUGUGGAACUCCGAGUGUAGAGGUGAAAUUCGUAGAUAUUCGGAAGAACACCAGUGGCGAAGGCGACACACUGGCCCGUUACUGACGCUGAGGCGCGAAAGCGUGGGGAGCAAACAGG
rnacentral:rRNA from 1 species